UGGCGGACGGGUGAGUAACGCGUGGGUAACCUGCCUCACACUGGGGGACAACAGUUAGAAAUAGCUGCUAAUACCGCAUAAGCGCACGGUUCCGCAUGGAACAGUGUGAAAAACUCCGGUGGUGUGAGAUGGACCCGCGUCUGAUUAGCCAGUUGGCGGGGUAACGGCCCACCAAAGCGACGAUCAGUAGCCGGCCUGAGAGGGUGAACGGCCACAUUGGGACUGAGACACGGCCCAA
rnacentral:rRNA from 1 species